rnacentral:lncRNA from 1 species
AUGAAAGCCGAGGUAAUAUUUAUAAAUUCCUUCCCUAAGGAUGGAUGGAAUGUUCUGAGCUGCAGCAGAAAGCACCUUUUUGGGGAUGAAGGGAGGUGGUGUAAGUGCAGUUAUUCAGUGAUCCAAAGGAAAAGGGAACAAGGGUGUGGAGGGGCUGCUCCACGUCUUUUCUGGAAGCACGGGCUGGUCCACACGCCUGGGCUCCUCGCUCACGUCUCCGGGGCCUCCCUCCCAUCCAGGAAGGCUUGGGGCCUCCUUUCUGAUGCUCUGGACCCCUCACCACCCCACCCUACUCAACGAGGCCAGGGACCCACGCCUGACAAAUAUGGUGGAUUCUUUACCCCUGAACCACCUGGGAAGCCCAAAGUUUAUGGUGGUGAUGAAAACCUUUGCGUUUAACACAGGAAAACGUGUGUCGUGCAAGUUCAAGCAUCUAUGGGUGGACACUUGUGCCCGCUGGUGAGCAAGUGAGGUGUGGUUGAAGCAGGAGGCUUGGGGCGUGAGCCUGGUACCUGG